rnacentral:rRNA from 1 species
GAUGAACGCUGGCGGCGUGCCUAAUACAUGCAAGUCGAGCGAACAGACGAGGAGCUUGCUUCUCUGACGUUAGCGGCGGACGGGUGAGUAACACGUGGAUAACCUACCUAUAAGACUGGGAUAACUUCGGGAAACCGGAGCUAAUACCGGAUAAUAUAUUGAACCGCAUGGUUCAAUAGUGAAAGACGGUUUUGCUGUCACUUAUAGAUGGAUCCGCGCCGCAUUAGCUAGUUGGUAAGGUAACGGCUUACCAAGGCAACGAUGCGUAGCCGACCUGAAAGGGUGAUCAGCCACACUGGAACUGAGACACGGUCCAGACUCCUACGGGAGGCAGCAGUAGGGAAUCUUCCGCAAUGGGCGAAAGCCUGACGGAGCAACGCCGCGUAAGUGAUGAAGGUCUUCGGAUCGUAAAACUCUGUUAUUAGGGAAGAACAAAUGUGUAAGUAACUAUGCACGUCUUGACGGUACCUAAUCAGAAAGCCACGGCUAACUACGUG